GGGGAAUAUUGCGCAAUGGGCGGAAGCCUGACGCAGCGACGCCGCGUGGGGGAUGAAGGCCUUCGGGUUGUAAACCUCUUUCGGCAGGGACGAAGGUGACGUGUACCUGCGGAAGAAGCGCCGGCUAACUACGUGCCAGCAGCCGCGGUAAUACGUAGGGCGCGAGCGUUGUCCGGAAUUAUUGGGCGUAAAGAGCUCGUAGGCGGCUGGUCGCGUCUGCCGUGAAAGCCUGCGGCUUAACCGUGGGUCUGCGGUGGAUACGGGCCGGCUUGAGGGAGGCAGGGGCAAGUGGAAUUCCUGGUGUAGCGGUGAAAUGCGCAGAUAUCAGGAGGAACACCGGUGGCGAAGGCGGCUUGCUGGGCCUUACCUGACGCUGAGGAGCGAAAGCGUGGGGAGCGAAC
rnacentral:rRNA from 1 species